rnacentral:rRNA from 1 species
CUGACACAGGGAGGUAGUGACAAUAAAUAACAAUGACUGGCAUUUUUAUGUCGGUCACUUGGAAUGAGAACAAUUUAAACCCAUUAACGAGGACCAAUUGGAGGGCAAGUCUGGUGCCAGCAGCCGCGGUAAUUCCAGCUCCAAUAGCGUACAUUAAAGUUGUUGCAGUUAAAAAGCUCGUAGUUGGAUUUCUGGUGUCGUGUUGUAUCCGUACGAUUAAGUUCGUCUCGAGUUACAUUCACGUCGCCAUCUUUUAACAGAGCUUGCCUGGCAUUAGGUUGUUGGGCAAGUUAUGUUAAUCGUUUACUGUGAAGAAAUUAGAGUGUUCAAAGCAGGCUUAUGCCGUUGAAUACGUUAGCAUGGAAUAAUGAGAUAGGACCUUGAUACUAUUUUGUUGGUUUGCGCAUUAAGGUAAUGAUUAAUAGGGUCAGUUGGGGGUAUUCGUAUUUCGUUGUCAGAGGUGAAAUUCUUGGAUUUACGAAAGACGAACGACUGCGAAAGCAUUUACCAAGGAUG